rnacentral:sRNA from 12 species
GAGAGCUUGUCCCCUCGUGCGAAGCACGAUUAUCAUGGGGACAAGCGACCUGCCGCCGAGUCGGCAGACGAGGGGGCAGAUCCACAG